AGGACGAACGCUGGCGGCGUGCUUAACACAUGCAAGUCGAGCGGAAAGGCCCUUCGGGGUACUCGAGCGGCGAACGGGUGAGUAACACGUGAGUAAUCUGCCCCUAGCUCUGGGAUAGCUCCGGGAAAACCGGGAUUAAUACCGGAUACGACCACCUUAGACAUCUUUUGUGGUGGAAAGAAUUUCGGCUAGGGAUGAGCUCGCGGCCUAUCAGCUUGUUGGUGGGUAACGCCUACCAAGGCGACGACGAGUA
rnacentral:rRNA from 1 species